rnacentral:rRNA from 1 species
GACGAACGCUGGUGGCGUGCUUAACACAUGCAAGUCGAACGGUAAGGCCCUUCGGGGUACACGAGUGGCGAACGGGUGAGUAACACGUGGGUGAUCUGCCCUGCACUUCGGGAUAAGCCUGGGAAACUGGGUCUAAUACCGGAUAGGACUCCUGGCUUCAUGGUUGGGGGUGGAAAGCUUUUGCGGUGUGGGAUGGGCCCGCGGCCUAUCAGCUUGUUGGUGGGGUGAUGGCCUACCAAGGCGACGACGGGUAGCCGGCCUGAGAGGGUGACCGGCCACACUGGGACUGAGAUACGGCCCAGACUCCUACGGGAGGCAGCAGUGGGGAAUAUUGCACAAUGGGCGCAAGCCUGAUGCAGCGACGCCGCGUGAGGGAUGACGGCCUUCGGGUUGUAAACCUCUUUCAGCACAGACGAAGCGCAAGUGACGGUAGGUGCAGAAGAAGGACCGGCCAACUACGUGCCAGCCGCCGCCGUAA